rnacentral:sRNA from 1 species
UGUGCACAUGUGUACGUGUGCAUGCACGUGUACCCACGCUGUGUGCACAUGUGUACGCGUGCAUGCACGUGUACCCACGCUGUGUGCACAUGUGUACGCGUGCAUGCACGUGUACCCACGCUGUGUGCACA